rnacentral:rRNA from 1 species
UACGUAGGGGGCAAGCGUUAUCCGGAUUUACUGGGUGUAAAGGGAGCGUAGACGGCGAUGCAAGUCUGAAGUGAAAGCCCGGGGCUCAACCCCGGGACUGCUUUGGAAACUGUAUGGCUGGAGUGCUGAGAGGCAAGCGGAAUUCCUAGUGUAGCGGUGAAAUGCGUAGAUAUUAGGAAGAACACCAGUGGCGAAGGCGGCUUGCUGGACAGUAACUGACGUUGAGGCUCGAAAGCGUGGGGAGCAAACAGG